UAGGGGAACGGAUCGUCGGUCUACCGAGCAAUACCAACCGCUCGGUGGAAGAUCUUCCCUGCGUCAU
rnacentral:pre_miRNA from 1 species